rnacentral:lncRNA from 1 species
GUCAAUGUACGGAUACCGGUUUUUAUUAUUGCUGUUAUUGGUUGGUGUUUGACUGCACUAUUUUCCAUAACAACGUUAUGUCUGUACAGACGGUACUUGAACGUAUAUUCUUUAGUAAAUGAUUACUCUUUAGUAAAUGAUGCAUACAACAUAAAAAUAAUAACAGUAAUUACUAAUAACACCACCCACUAUAAUCACAUCAUCAACUUACACCAAAUCCUAAAAUAUCAUCAAAUACAAAUUCCAACAAAAAACACAUUAAAUUCUUAUAAUGACCCAUCAGAAUCCAUGCAUGAUAAAAAAAAAAAAAACUAGCUAGCAUUUGCAGUUAUAAGUUUCAUUUUGCAAAGCUAUAUAGACUUCAGAAAUCACCUUGUAGCUCGGUAUUGUUGUUUAUUCGAGUAUAUCAGUGAAUAUACAAUGUACUUACUUGUUGAACAGAUUCUCAACUUGUACUUUUCGGUUCUCCUAAACUCUGUUUUGAAAGCUUGAAUUCUAUUCGUUGGAUUUAUAUAAAUUAUAGAAAACACUGGCUUAUCAUAUCUUAUAUCAUCUGAUAUGACCAGGUUAAUAAGUUAUUAAGCGGGAAGAAAGAUUGGCCAAAUUACACAUACGAUUGAAAAAUCACCCUAUCUCUUAAGUCUGAAAACUUAAAAGGUUCAUGGAUAAAUCAGUACUUCUUUUUUCAAGUUUUCAAGAAAGAGGUGAUUUUUGAACAAUGUUCCCUUUUGCUCUAUAACUUAUAUUCACAAUUAUAACACUCUGUAAGGUUUGGAAUUUUACAUUAGGUACAGGUCUUUCUUUUCUUAUACUCAUCAGUUUCCUUUUUAUGAUGUCCAACCAUCACUUUAUAAUUGCAUUUAUAACUUUUAAAAACUAAAUUCGGUUAUCAACGGUCAGGGUAUUUUUUUUUUCAGAAUGAACAAACAACGGCAAAACAAUUCUGGUGAACCGAAUCUGAAUGCACAGUAUCAGGACUUACAUGUAAAUAGACUCUCAUCCUGCUACAGUUCACUAAAUGCAGCAGCAAUUAAUUCAGAACAACAUGAACACAUUUAACUUGCAUGUCUGUUCUUGAUUUCUAAUUCACAUAA